rnacentral:misc_RNA from 1 species
GGGGGGGCGAGCAGAGCUGCUGCUCGGCCAUGGGAGAGAGGGGGCGCUGGGGGAGGGGUGGAGCAGCGGCGCUGCGCAGGAAGGGGCGCCGAGCAUAGGGAACUUCAGGCGCCCAAGCUGCUGGCCGAGCAGAGGUCCGGCCAUGGCUGCCUCUACCCCUGCGCAAGGGAGACCAGGGAUGGACGCCAUGUGCAGGAGCUCGGCUGCAGGGGGGACGCGCCCAUGGGGAAGAGGAGGAGCUGCAGCUCGCCUACACCCUUGGAGCCGAGGAGAGGAAGGGCGCCAUGGGGGGGCUCUGUGUCCUGCUGCAAGCGCCAUGGGAGAGGCUUGCUGCCGUGGAGGCUGUCGGCUGGAGCAGAGGGGCGAGAGGAACUCGUCUGCGCCAAGGAAGGGAGCAGGGAGCGCCAGGGUUGGGUGCUCGGCUGCUCAAGCCUCGUCGGUGCCAUGGGAGGAAGGGAAGGAAGCUCCCUGCGCGUUGGGGAAGAAGGCGUGGGGGAGAAAAGGCUGAUGGCGGCUGGAAAAACAAUAGGGGUGGGAAUGCAAAAUGACCAAGGGCAAGGGAGAGGGAUCCGUAUUUAU